rnacentral:rRNA from 1 species
UACGUAGGGUGCAAGCGUUUAAUCGGAAUUACUGGGCGUAAAGCGUGCGCAGGCGGUGAUGUAAGACAGGUGUGAAAUCCCAGGGCUUAACCUUGGAACUGCAUUUGUGACUGCAUCGCUGGAGUGCGGCAGAGGGGAUGGAAUCCCGCGUGUAGCAGUGAAAUGCGUAGAUAUCAGGAGGAAUACCGAUGGCGAAGGCAGGUCUCUGGGCUAACACUGACGCUCAUGCACGAAAGCGUGGGAGCAACAGG